AAGUUCUCUUAAGUCAAGUAAAACAGAAAUGGCACUUUCUUUUUAGGGUUCUCCCACACAGCUGCACUGUCUUCCUUAGCCAGCAGAGGACACCCUUCAGCUUACAAAGACUCACCGCUUUCUUCUGGAUGAAAAUUUGUGCAUCCUUCAGGUGGCCGGCAAUGUUCUCACACAGACGUUUCCUCUGUUCCUCAUUCAGCACGUUCACAUAGAAUGCCCGCACCUGCUCAGAGAAAAGAGCAAGUGCAGAGAAUUGAAUCACCAGUUUAUCACCAACAAAAUUCACCUACUACAACACUUAGGAAAUCAAUGAUAAAAAAAACUUUAGAAGUUAAGAAUAAUUUUAAAUUUUAAAUUUGGGUUGUGUCCUUCACUUUUUGUUUUAAGCAAAAUAAGUAAAAUUCAUUUGUUAAUAGCUCAUACCUGCUUUCUAAUAAUAUCCUUUAUAGUAACUGCUAUAAAUCUCUUAUAAAUAGAUCUACAAUUUAAAACCUCACCACAUUCUUAAUACUGACAAGUCUAAAAUGUGCAAGCUGCCUUUGAAUGUAAACUUAGCACAAUACCUUUGUUCAAUUCUCCCAGAACCAUGGAGGAAAAUUAACUAAUUUAGCUAGAGAUAUAAUUUGAUAUAUAGAUAAUUAUAUCUAUAUAUAGACAUCUAAAAAACUACCUCAUUUAUACAUGUGUAUCUGUAGUUAUUCAGAAGCCAAUAUUUCUUAAGCAAGACAUAUUAAUAGUGAUAUUUUGCUAGAUUAUUGGGUUGACCUCUAAAAUAAAUAUCCAUAAAUUAAAAUGAAAAAUAGGAGCUUAGUAUCAGAUAUGUGAAUCCGAGCAGCCUCUGCCCCAUUCUGAAAUCAAAAGGUUGUAGCUAUGAUUUUAUUCUUACAUUUCAUUCAUUCAUUCCACUCAUUCAACAAAUAUUGAGUAUCUAUAAUGUGCGAGACUCUGUUCUACGUGCUGUUCUAUUAAUGUUUAUGAAGUCCAAUAAUAUCCAAUUAUCCAAAGUAUCAACUUCAUAAAAUAUUAAGAGAUGCAUCAUUUCCAUAAGUCAUCAAAUAUCAGGCUAUAAUUAUGUUUUUAAAUUUUUGAGUAAAGUUUAAACCUGAUACCAAAGUUAAUCAGACAUUUUCGAUUAACACAAUCUAAUCAAAGUACUAUAUCCUGGGGAUUUCCUCAGACCUAUCUCCAAUUCACUAAUUCUCUCUUCAGCUGUAUUUGACAUAUUGCGUGAAAACAUCGACUGGGUCACUAUAUCUGUUGACUUUUUAUUUCACAGAUUGUAAUUUUUGUUUCUAGAAAAUAUUAUUUGGUUAUUUUUCAAAUCUACCUGUUUUUCUCCUCAUAUCCUAUUGUCUUAAUAAUAUUCCUUUUUUGCAUCUCUUUAAAUAUGUAUGUUUAUUUUAAAGCCUCUUUCCAAUUAUCAUGUCUAUGAUUCUUCCAUCUAUUAUUGCAUGUGUAAUUUCUCAUUGGAUUUCCUUGUAUGUAUUCUAAUUUUUCACUAUGACUCAUCAGAUGAAGUAGUCUUGAUAACAUCUAUUGUUCUAUCUUCCAAUUCACUAAUCUUCUCUUCAGCCAUGUUAACCUCCUUUAAAAGCCAUCUAUUAAAUUCUAAUUUCAGUUGUUACAUUUUCUAGUUAUGUCCAUUCAACUCUUUUUCUAUAGCUUAAAGUUCUCUUACUAAAUUCUUCAAGCAGUCAUCUAUUUUCUUUUUUUUUUUUUUUUUUUUUUCUUCUUUUUCCUAUAUAUUCCAAAUUUUCUUUAGGACACUUGUAUUAUUUUUAUCAUAGAAAAAUAAACUUUGUUUGAAUAUAGACAUCUGUGGCUAUAAAUAUAAAUCAUCAGUAAAAUUUCUAAAGGGAUCAAUGCAUGCAGUCUAUAUUACUAAAACACGUGUCCUAAAUGGGAAAAGAAAAUAACUAAGAUCUAUAUUAAACUGUGGAAUAGUAAAAGGAAAAAACUUUAAUCAAGCAUUCUGCUUGACUUAUUAGAAAAAGUAAUUAGAACCAGAGGCUGUUUGUAUACGACACC
rnacentral:lncRNA from 10 species